AGGAUAAACGCUGGCGGCGUGCCUAAUCAAUGCGAGUCGAACGGGCACCUUCGGGUGUCAGUGGCGUCCGGGUGAGUAACGCGUAGCUAACCUGCCCACAGGUGGGGGAUACCCGCCAGAAAUGGCGGCUAAUACCGCAUAGCGUGACGAGGGGGUGACCUUCGGCACGAAAGCAGCGAUGUGUCUGUGGAGGGGGCUGCGUCCGAUUAGCUGGUCGGUGGGGUAACGGCCUACCGAGGCGACGAUCGGUAGCUGGUCUGAGAGGAUGGUCAGCCACACUGGGACUGAGACAUGGUCCAGAGCUCUACGGGGUUUAGCAUGAAGGGAUAUUGCGCAAUGGGCGAAAGUCUGACGCAGCAACGCCGCGUGUGGGACGACGCCUCUCGGGGUGUAAACCACUUUUUCCCAGGGAAGAAGGACGUGACGGUACCUGGGGAAGAAGCCUUGGCUAAGUACGUGCCAGCAGCCGC
rnacentral:rRNA from 1 species